CACGCCGUAAACGUUGUGUGCCAGAUGUGGGUGGGUUCGGCCCCAUCCGCGUCCCAGCUAACGCGAUAAGCACACCGCCUGGGGACUACGGCCGCAAGGCUAAAACUCAAAGGAAUUGACGGGGGCCCGCACAAGCGGUGGAGCAUGUUGCUUAAUUCGAGGCAACGCGAAGAACCUUACCCAGGUUUGACAUGCGGUGGACGCGCGGUGAAAGCCGCGUUCCCUUCGGGGCCGCCGCACAGAUGC
rnacentral:rRNA from 1 species